rnacentral:rRNA from 1 species
UGGGGAUGACGUCAAAUCAGCACGGCCCUUAUCGUCCAGGGCUACACACGUGUUACAAUGGUCGGUACAAAGGGUUGCCAAGCCGCGAGGUGGAGCUAAUCCCAUAAAACCGAUCGUAGUCCGGAUCGCAGUCUGCAACUCGACUGCGUGAAGUCGGAAUCGCUAGUAAUCGUGAAUCAGAAUGUCACGGUGAAUACGUUCCCGGGCCUU